rnacentral:pre_miRNA from 1 species
UCUCGUGCUCACGUGGGGAAAGUUCGAGCCUGAAUCUUUCUCGUCCGAGCACGGGACU